UAGGGAAUCUUCGGCAAUGGACGAAAGUCUGACCGAGCAACGCCGCGUGAGUGAAGAAGGUUUUCGGAUCGUAAAACUCUGUUGUUAGAGAAGAACAAGGACGUUAGUAACUGAACGUCCCCUGACGGUAUCUAACCAGAAAGCCACGGCUAACUACGUGCCAGCAGCCGCGGUAAUACGUAGGUGGCAAGCGUUGUCCGGAUUUAUUGGGCGUAAAGCGAGCGCAGGCGGUUUCUUAAGUCUGAUGUGAAAGCCCCCGGCUCAACCGGGGAGGGUCAUUGGAAGCUGGGAGACUUGAGUGCAGAAGAGGAGAGUGGAAUUCCGUGUGUAGCGGUGAAAUGCGUAGAUAUAUGGAGGAACACCAGUGGCGAAGGCGGCUCUCUGGUCUGUAACUGACGCUGAGGCUCGAAAGCGUGGGGAGCAAACAGG
rnacentral:rRNA from 1 species